GCCCUUCGGGGUACACGAGCGGCGAACGGGUGAGUAACACGUGGGUGAUCUGCCUCGCACUUCGGGAUAAGCCUGGGAAACUGGGUCUAAUACCGGAUAUGACCAAGGACUGCAUGGUUUUUGGUGGAAAGAUUUAUCGGUGCGAGAUGGGCCCGCGGCCUAUCAGCUUGUUGGUGGGGUAACGGCCUACCAAGGCGACGACGGGUAGCCGACCUGAGAGGGUGACCGGCCACACUGGGACUGAGACACGGCCCAGACUCCUACGGGAGGCAGCAGUGGGGAAUAUUGCACAAUGGGCGAAAGCCUGAUGCAGCGACGCCGCGUGAGGGAUGACGGCCUUCGGGUUGUAAACCUCUUUCGACAGGGACGAAGCGCAAGUGACGGUACCUGUAGAAGAAGCACCGGCCAACUACGUGCCAGCAGCCGCGGUAAUACGUAGGGUGCGAGCGUUGUCCGGAAUUACUGGGCGUAAAGAGCUUGUAGGCGGUUUGUCGCGUCUUCUGUGAAAACUUGGGGCUCAACCUUAAGCUUGCAGGCGAUACGGGCAGACUAGAGUACUUCAGGGGAGACUGGAAUUCCUGGUGUAGCGGUGAAAUGCGC
rnacentral:rRNA from 1 species